CGAGAUAAUUGGCAAAACCAUUGAAAAAUGGUGACGCAAAGCUAUAGGGGCUACCUUGAGCUAUUCGCUUCAACAUGCCAGCCAGUUGCCGAA
rnacentral:ncRNA from 1 species